rnacentral:lncRNA from 1 species
UGGAGAUGUACAUAAUGGGCAAGCAUAUGGUUCUUUGUGCAUACAUGUGAAUUUUCUUUGUGAGUGUGAGAGUGUUCUUUGAUGCUAAGUCCUUAAUUUAUAUUCAAUCUUUUGAUUUGAGUGUGUGGACUAUUUCUUCUUGUGAGGGCACUUGUUUCAUGAUAGAUAGGUGAUUUUAUUAACUUUCUUUGAUGAGAGUAGGUGAGCAAGCUUAAA